CAUACAUGUUUUCCAUAUUUACCGAGGACAGUGGAAAAACAAUUAUGAUGUCACAUGUAGGCAAUAUGAUUGUUCCAGCACCAGAAAAAUGCAAGAUGUAAUGCUGCUGAAGAAAUAAUGCACACAGUAGAGAUCGAGGGCUGCGUUUACAUUUUCCACGUGUCCAUCUAUUGUCCUUGGUGACCAUUAACUGCAGCCUAUGUGGAAAUGGGCCCUUACUGUAGAUGUUGGGCCCCAGAGCAGCUGUAUUGCCUGCCACUAAGCUGGAUACCCUUUCCUGGCUUUGGGAUCCUUUCUUGCAUUGCAUUGUAUCGAGGAGACGACUCGGCAUCAUCCUGGCUUCCAGAUUUUAUACAGAGUGUUUGGAUUCAAGUCUACAUAAGCGGUGAGCUGGCAACAAUUUUUUCUUAUGACUGUGGACAUAUCUUUGGACCUACAGAACGGAUUUUGAAGAGUUGGUGGGCAUAGCCUGUGGUCUAUGGUAUCUGCCAUACACUGCAUAAAGUGAACGAUGAGUAGUCUAAAGUGUGCAUAACUGAAUGUACCACAGGGGACUCCAACCAAGGUGUAGAUGCUUCUCAAAGAUGAU